rnacentral:tRNA from 1 species
GCCCUAAUAGUAUAACUAUUACCUUGGUCUUGUAAACCAAAAAUG